AACGAACGCUGGCGGCAGGCCUAACACAUGCAAGUCGAGCGAGGCCUUCGGUUCUAGCGGCGGACGGGUGAGUAACGCGUGGGAAUGUGCCCUUAUCUACGGAAUAACUCUGGGAAAGGGGGGGUAAUACCGGAUAAGGCCUAUGGGCGAAAGAUUUAUCGGAGUAGGAUGAGCCCGCGUUGGAUUAGGUAGUUGGUAGGGUAAUGGCCUACCAAGGCGACGAUCCAUAGCUGGUUUGAGAGGAUGAUCAGCCACACUGGGACUGAGACACGGCCCAGACUCCUACGGGAGGCAGCAGUGGGGAAUAUUAGACAAUGGGGGCAAGCCUGAUCUAGCCAUGCCGCGUGAGUGAUGAAGGCCUUAGGGUUGUAAAGCUCUUUCAGCUGGGAAGAUAAUGACGGUACCGGCAGAAGAAGCCCCGGCUAACUCCGUG
rnacentral:rRNA from 1 species